UCAUUCAGUAAAUAGGCAUUUUCUUUUUCUUACAAGAUGAUCAUAGGAAAGCAGUUUUUAACACAAUUCUCUCUCUUUCUCUCUCUCUUUUUUCCCCCUUUUUUUCAAAAGGCACCCCAUCAUCAGUAGGAGUUAGUGUGGCAAGGCUUGAUGGUUCAACCAUGAAUUCCUUACGUCAUUUGCUUCUUGAACUAGGUUUCUGCCAGGUGCAUAGAGACAAUGUACGAAAUUUGCUUGAAGAUAUUAAAAAACCACUGCGCAAACACACAUAAAGGGAAAGAAUGCAAAAAAGGAGUAGCUGGAACAAGAAUGACAAAGUGGCCACGCCUGAAUUUGGGGAGGAGUUCGCUAUGUUAUUCUGUUCGUAAUCGUUCAUAUUAAAAAGUUUAAAAUGA